rnacentral:rRNA from 1 species
CUCAGGGAGGUAGUGACAAGAAAUAACAACACUGGAAAUUUUAUUUCUAGUGAUUGGAAUGAUGGGAAUUUAAACCCCUUUCAGAGUAACAAUUGGAGGGCAAGUCUGGUGCCAGCAGCCGCGGUAAUUCCAGCUCCAAUAGCGUAUAUUAAAGUUGUUGCAGUUAAAAAGCUCGUAGUUGGAUGUCUGCUGGAAGCAAUCAGUCCGCCCUAUUUGUAGGGUGUGCACUUGAUGAAUUCUGGCAUUUUUGUCCCAAUGAUGUAACGGGGCGGUGCUAUUGGGCGAAAGUUCAAUAGCCUGUUUUCCGAUUAUUGGGAUACUGUUACUUUGAGAAAAUUAGAGUGUUUGAAGCAGGCUAAUUGCCUUGAAUACUGCAGCAUGGAAUAACAAUAUAGGAUUUCGGUUCUAUUUUGUUGGUUUCUAGGACUGAAAUAAUGAUUAAUAGGGACAGUUGGGGGCAUUUGUAUUUAACUGUCAGAGGUGAAAUUCUUAGAUUUGUUAAAGACGAACUACUGCGAAAGCAUUUGCCAAAGAUGUUUUCAUUAAUCAAGAACGAAAGUUAGGGGCUCGAAGACGAUCAGAUACCGUCGUAGUCUUAACCAUAAACUAUGCCGACUAGAGAUAGGAAAAUGUCAUUUUGCUGACUU